UGUAGUCUUUUUGGCUGUUGCCUCCUGGAGUGGAGGGGAAGAGCCCGGUCGUUCUUGUCAGCUGAGGAGAAUGAUUCAUAGAGGAGGGUCGGGAAAGAGCAGUUCUGUCUGUGAAAGCCCACUUAAAAAGCUGCACUCUAUUUCGUGGAAGGGAGAGGCAGAAAAGCGAGCAGGCCCUCGGGCCUGACCCCGCCUUAGGCCGCUCGGCAGGCCACCACCGAGUCCUCGGCCUGGUCCGGGGCGGCCUCGAGCCUCUGGUUGCUGGGGGAAUGGUGACGUCGCGGGGUGAAAGUUGAGGGGCGGUGACGUCGGGCCUGGCCGGGCGGAGGCUGGCGGGUUGGAGGCAGGAGGGAGGGAAGGAGGGAAGGAAGGAAGCUGGGAAGGAGCGAGCGAGCGGGGGCGCGAGGCGUUUACCUGGAAGCAGCGGCUCGGGCGCGCAGAGCGGCCGCGGCUCCCCCGCACCUGCGGCGAUGGACGAAGAGCGCGCCCUCUACAUCGUCCGGGCCGGCGAGGCGGGGGCUAUCGAGCGGGUUCUGAGGGAUUACAGCGAUAAGCAUAGGGCUACUUUCAAAUUUGAACCAACAGAUGAAGAUAAAAGAAAGAAACUCUGUGAAGGCAUAUUUAAAGUCCUUGUAAAGGACAUCCCAACAACAUGUCAAGUGUCCUGUCUGGAAGUUCUCCGUAUUCUCUCCAGAGACAAAAAGGUUUUAGUUCCUGUAACAACCAAGGAAAAUAUGCAGAUACUGCUGCGACUAGCGAAGCUAAAUGACUCAGAUGAUUCUUUGGAGAAGGUGUCAGAGUUCCCAGUUAUUGUGGAGUCAUUAAAAUGUCUGUGUAACAUAGUGUUCAACAGUCAGAUGGCACAGCAGCUCAGCCUGGAACUUAACCUUGCUGCAAAGCUCUGUAACCUCCUGAGAAAGUGCAAGGACCGAAAGUUUAUCAGUGACAUUAAGUGCUUUGACUUGCGCUUGCUCUUCCUCCUGUCACUUUUGCACACUGACAUCAGGUCACAAUUGCGCUAUGAGCUCCAGGGACUACCGCUGCUAACCCAGAUCUUGGAAAGUGCCUUUAGCAUCAAGUGGACCGAUGAGUAUGAAUCGGCCAUAGACCAUAAUGGACCUCCUCUCUCACCUCAGGAGACAGACUGUGCCAUUGAGGCCCUCAAAGCUCUCUUCAAUGUGACAGUAGACAGUUGGAAGGUGCAUAAAGAGAGUGAUUCUCAUCAGUUCCGUGUCAUGGCAGCUGUCCUUCGCCAUUGUUUACUAAUUGUAGGUCCAACUGAAGACAAAACUGAAGAGCUGCACAGCAAUGCAGUCAACCUUUUAAGCAAUGUUCCGGUCUCUUGUUUGGAUGUUCUCAUUUGUCCAUUAACCCAUGAAGAAACAGCCCAAGAGGCCACGACUCUAGAUGAACUGCCCAGUGAUAAAACAUCUGAGAAAGAAACAGUUUUGAAAAACAAUACGAUGGUGUACAAUGGUAUGAAUAUGGAGGCCAUUUAUGUUUUACUCAAUUUUAUGGAGAAGAGAAUAGACAAGGGAAGCAGCUAUAGAGAGGGCUUAACUCCAGUUCUCAGCUUAUUAACAGAAUGUUCCCGAGCCCAUCGAAACAUCAGAAAAUUUCUCAAAGAUCAGGUUUUACCACCACUGAGGGAUGUGACAAAUCGACCUGAAGUCGGCUCAACUGUGAGAAAUAAGCUGGUGCGCCUCAUGACACAUGUUGACCUUGGAGUCAAACAAAUUGCUGCUGAAUUCCUUUUUGUCCUUUGCAAGGAGAGAGUGGAUAGCCUGCUGAAAUACACUGGCUAUGGGAAUGCUGCAGGACUGUUGGCGGCCAGGGGCCUCUUGGCUGGAGGAAGAGGAGAUAAUUGGUACUCAGAGGACGAGGACACAGACACUGAAGAAUACAAAAAUGCAAAACCAAACAUUAAUCUUAUCACUGGUCAUUUAGAGGAACCAAUGCCAAACCUUAUAGAUGAAAUGACAGAAGAACAAAAAGAAUAUGAAGCCAUGAAACUUGUCAACAUGCUUGAUAAACUUUCCAGGAGAGCAGAUGUGAAGGACCUGCACCAGGAUGGUGGUUAGCAACAGUGGCCCAUGCCAAAGCUCUUACCAAAGUGAUGACUAAGACAGGGAAAGAGGUGCUGUACUGAAGAGUAAACAGGACCAGUAAUCACAUGGCUGACCCAGCCCAGGCGUCUGGUUAACGAACGACACAGCCAGGACUCCGUUCUCAGUCUUCAGACUCCAGGUCAUGCAUUAUUUUGAAAAUUACCAACACCACCCCCAAAUUUUUCAGUCCAAUUUAAAUCAGAAAUUCUAAAUUUUAAACAAGUGAAAAGCAUAAAGACAGACAGUAACCAUAUUUACCUGAGAAGAGAAUUAAGAUUUGGAGGAUAUUUUUUCCACUCUUCAUUCCAUAGUUGAUUUGAGCUCUUUACAAAUAUCAGGUCAGAAGCUAAAUAAAUAGCUUAUAUUUUUAACAACAAAAAACAGUUUUAUAUAGAAAAAGCCAGUAAAAUUGCUAUUGUUCUAUGUUAAUAUAAGGUCUGUUUUGUUAAUAUAAGGUCUCAGUUUUGAAAAGAGAAUGAUUAUAGGUAUUCUGACAAAUGCUUAUUAUUUAGUGUGAUCACAUUAGGAAAACUUAACUCUAAAAAGGCUUCCUUCCCUUUGGGACUCUUCAGGAAACUCCCCCAUUGCCUUCACAAGGUGGAAAGGUGUGGCGCAGACAAUAUGCCAUAUUCAUUUGUCUUGGGGGUGAUAUUUGUAUGCUACAUGUUCAAUCUUCCCAACUGUGCCCAAACCCAAAGCAUGAUAGUGAGGGCUAAGGAAACAUCCUCAGAGUCAUUUGUGAAAGAUGCAGCCUGAAUACCUAGAAUUUGCUAUGGAAAAGCCACCAUAUACCUUCUGCCUAUUGGGUUAGUGACUUAGAGGAAAAUCAGGAUAACCAGUCAGCAGUAGGAAGCCAUCAAACGAAAGAUAUAAUGAAAGAUGAAAGAUCAGGGUCCAAAAGACACUUUCAUAGUAUAUAAAUGAACAUGUUAACUAGAGUCAAAGGUUAUAAUAUUAUUUCUGGGGUGGGGGAAGAGUCAAAAACACUUAUAAGAAUGUCACAAGUCAGUGGGAAAUCAUUGUACUUCAGUGAAUUAUGCACUGACUGUUCCAGUGAUCCAGAAACUUUGAAAUAAGAUGCACUCUCAGACUUGGAAUUAUAGCAAAGAUUACAGAGCUUUCUUCAGGCUAUCCCAGGCUCCAUUCUUGCAGGCAUUUUGGAGAAAGCUCUGUGUUAAUUAAAAGGCUUUAUUUAUAUACAAGUUUCUCAUCCUAUCUUUCAGAUGUUUAAAGGAAUUAAAUAUGAAAUGACUAAUUCGAAAUGUCAGGCUUCUUUUUUCCAAGCCAACCUUGCAUUAAGAGCAGGAAUCCCUGUGCCAAAGAAAUGGUUCCCAAUUAUCCUGUCCUGGGUUUUGUUAUGCAUUGUACAGAAGUCAACAAAACAAGUAUGUAACAGAACCUGCCUAAAUAACAGCCACCCUCAUUAAAAACGGAGAAUUAACCAGGGGAUGAUUGAAGGAGCAAUGCCUUAUAGGUUCCCCCUUUUCUUCCUUUCUAAUCAUAGAACAAAAUAUGUUACAUAAAAGGAUCGGAACUAUUAUGCAGUAGUACUCAAUUAGAGGGAGGUGAAUAGGUCUCUAACAUACUGUUUUAUCAAAAGAGCAGACCGGUGUUUGCAUGACUGUUGUUUCAUUACAGACCCUGUCAUUAAUUCCAUGUGUCAAUACUGCCCUGUAGUACACAGAGCAGACAAGAAAGAAGAGCCCUUGAAAACAAGGGAAUGAUUUUUGAGUCGUUAUCAAGCUAAGUGGCGAGCGGGAAGCUGAAUCUCGUAUAGUUGAACAUUCUUGGAGGCUUAUCUCUUCCCUGGCCAGAUGCCUGAUCAGAUGAGAAGCCCGCCAUGAUACUGUCCCAGUGCCUAGAAUGGGCACUUUGUCCAGUAGACAUCACUGUACUUUUUGAUGAUAACGAGGGCAGUCUUAACUUGUGUUAAGGCCUGUGUGUAGCAUUGAAGAGAGGAGUUGCUUAAACCAAUGGGACUAAAACCUGAUGGGACAAUAACGCCUUUGGAGGAAGCACUCAGCCAGUACUCAGUCAUCGAAG